rnacentral:misc_RNA from 1 species
GGGACAGUUAUUGAAAUUUAUCCUGAAUUUGAAGGAGACAUUCUCUGCAACUUGGGUGUUAAUACUGUUCACGACAAUCUGAAUGAGACAUACACUGCAACUUUUGUAUGCGCACACUUGCACUAGGAAUGCAUGGAUAUCAAGAUGUUGCAGUCUGAAGACCAUUUUCUCCCUUGCCAACCAUUUGGCAAAUGGUAUUUAU